CUAUUUUCAAGAAGGGCUCCCGGGCAGACAGAUGCAGGACUAAUGGUCAAGAAUAUCACAACUGGGCUGGCGCGUCUGGCAUUCAGGGUUCCUUCCAAUUCCUUUCGGUCCUUCCACCUUGCCUUUUCUUUCCGACACAAAUGGGAACCCAACCAGGUAAGAGACCAGGUAA